rnacentral:rRNA from 1 species
UCACUGGGUUUAAAGGGUGCGUAGGCGGCCCUCUAAGUCAGUGGUGAAAUACCCCAGCUUAACUGGGGAGGUGCCAUUGAUACUGUUGGGCUUGAGUACAGUUGAGGUAGGCGGAAUAUACGGUGUAGCGGUGAAAUGCAUAGAUAUCGUCAAGAACACCGAUAGCGAAGGCAGCUUACUAAGCUGUAACUGACGCUGAGGCACGAAAGUGUGGGGAUCAAACAGGAUUAGAUACCCUGGUAGUCCACACCGUAAACGAUGAUUACUCGAUGUUGGCGAUACACAGUCAGUGUCUAAGCGAAAGCGUUAAGUAAUCCACCUGGGGAGUACGCCGGCAAGGGUAAACUCAAAGGAAUGACGGGGGGCCGCACAAGCGGGGAGCAUGUGGUUUAAUUCGAUGCUACGCGAGGAACCUUA